CUAAGCUCCAAUGCCUUGUCUGCUAAGCACCGCUGUCCCUCUGCGUCAAAGAGAAAACAAAGGUUGACUCACAGAUAGAUCUUAGGCCCCUCUCAGUCAUCUCUCUGUAAGCUUUCACGAUCAUUUUCUUUUGCUUUUUUCUCUGUUUCAAGAUCUGCAAAGGUUCUAUAUCAGUUUAGUUCUUUCUUUUCUUUUUGGUGUAUUUAAUGGAUAGCAAUUACGCAGCUAUUCCCAAGAGCUCAUAUGUAGAAUUACAAUUGCAUCAUGAUCCUGAGAUCCCAAUAAAUCCACGAAAAGCCCACCUCAAAUCGCUUCCUUUUAAUGAUGGGGAGAACUUUAGAGAUCCCAGGAUCGAGAAUGCUAAAAUUUUAGUUGAUGAUGGUGAUGGUAGUGGUGGUGGGGUUGAUGAUGACGAUUUUGAUAUCGAUAAUUAUCCACUUGUUCUUGCCAAAUCCAAUAAUGGGUCUGGGAUUUAUGGUGCAGUUUUUAAUCUCACCACAUCGAUUAUUGGGGCAGGGAUUAUGGCCUUGCCAGCUACAAUGAAGGUUCUUGGAUUGGUUUUAGGGGUUGUGUUGAUAAUUCUCAUGGGUAUUCUGUCUGAAAUUAGUGUUGAAUUAUUAGUUAGGUUUUCGGUACUUUGUAAGGCUUCUUCCUAUGGUGAAGUUGUUCAAUGUGCUUUAGGAAAAACUGCGAAGGUUUUUUCUGAGAUUUGUAUAAUUGUGAACAAUGCAGGUGUUCUGGUUGUGUAUUUGAUAAUUGUAGGUGAUGUUAUGUCAGGAUCUCUCCAUCAUAUGGGGGUUUUUGAUCAAUGGUUAGGGCAUGGGGUGUGGGAUCAUAGGAAGUUGGUGAUUCUGGUUGUGGUGGUGGUUUUUCUUGCACCCCUUUGUGCUCUGGAUAAGAUUGAUUCAUUGAGCUUAACUUCAGCUGCUUCAGUGGCUUUGGCUGUUGUCUUUGUUGUGGUAUGUUUUAUUGUUGCUUUUAUUAAGCUAGUUGAAGGAAAAAUUGAGGCUCCAAGAAUGACUCCAGAUUUUGGUUCAAAGAAGGCCAUUUUGGAUUUGCUUGUGGUCAUUCCCAUCAUGACAAAUGCUUAUGUUUGCCACUUUAAUGUUCAGCCUAUAUAUAAUGAACUCGACGGGCGGUCAACCCGGAAGAUGAAUCAAGUGGGGAGAAUUACAACUGCUCUUUGUAUUACUGUUUAUGCUUCAACUGCCGUAUCGGGUUAUUUACUCUUUGGGAAGGAUACAGAAGCUGAUGUGCUGACCAAUUUUGACAUGGACCUUGGUAUUCCUUUUAGCUCUGCGUUGGAUUAUAUUGUUAGGGUAGGGUAUAUUCUUCAUUUGGUUCUUGUUUUUCCU
rnacentral:misc_RNA from 1 species